AGAACGAACGCUGGCGGCAGGCCUCAAACAUGCAAGUCUAGGGGGCGUAGCAAUACGUCACCGGCGGACGGGUGCGUAACACGUGGGAAUGUACUUAUUGGUUCGGAACAACUCAGGGAAACUUGAGCUAAUACCGAAUGUGCCCGUAAGGGGAAAGAUUUAUCGCCAAUAAAUCAGCCCGCGUCCGAUUAGCUAGUUGGUGGGGUAAAGGCCCACCAAGGCGACGAUCGGUAGCUGUUCUGAGAGGAAGAUCAGCCACACUGGGACUGAGACACGGCCCAGACUCCUACGGGAGGCAGCAGUUGGGAAUCUUGGACAAUGGGGAAACCCUGAUCCAGCCAUGCCGCGUGAGUGAUGAAGGCCUUAGGGUUGUAAAACUCUUUCGGCGGGGACGAUAAUGACGGUACCCGCAGAAGAAGCUCCGGCUAACUUCGCGCCAGCAGCCGC
rnacentral:rRNA from 1 species